UGAUGCUGCACAGUGAAUUGAGGGCCAAAUCAGCAAUACAACCUGGGUCGCCUGGAUUUCAGCGCAUGGCCUUUCCAAGAUAACAUGCUACUCUCUCGUCCACAGAUUUUGAAGAAAAAAAAAGAUCACCUAAAGAGAAAAUAGAGAAAAACUAAAGCAAGACCACAGAAGAGCUGGAUGUGGAUAGAACAUCUAGACCAGGAAGAACUCAGCCUGGAGGAGUAUGGGAGAAACACAGCAACGGAAAACCUGGAACAUGCAGAGUACUCUUUUGAAAAGGAGGAGAGUCAUUUUUGAGGACAGCACAUUAUCUGUCAUUCAGAUUUAUUUUACUGUCCGGAUCCCAUCUGGAUUUAUGUACUGAGUAUGGUGUUGAAUAGCGAGGAUGUAAGAAAAAAAAUUACAGAGCUGCUUUAUUUCCUAAAGUCACUAAGACAUUGGGAUGUGAGCAGCACCACUGUGGUGUCUCAGAGGGUUCCUAUUGAAACCAGAAACAUUUAGCUUUUCAUCUCCUGGAUGCCAAUUCCUAGCUAAAGUGGGCUCCGGCAGAAGAAGGUGCUUUCUGGAUGAAAGAGGAGAAGCUGGAAGAUGCCCGGCAAGAGGCCUCGGUCCUUCCUGGAAGACCAUGAAGUCCAGUGCAGCUAUCGGUACUCAACACCAGAAGCCCAGAGAGGAAAGAAACACCAAUGCCACACAGUAACUAACUGGAAAGCUUACUAGACUUGUGGGUAGACACAAAUGCAUAUGAGACAUUCUGGGGGGUUCUCAGAUGGAUUGGUGUAGAGGUAUUCUAAAAGGAGUUGGAGGAGAGAAAAGAAAUAGAUGAAAGGAAACAGUAAAAUCUGGGUUAUUAGUUGAAGCCCCAGACCCUUAUGUGAGGACUGAUGCUACUCUAAAUGCAUACAGUAUGUAGAUAGCUUUCUGUCUUCUUUAUGUUUACUAAAUUUUUGAAAAGUAAUUGUUUUUUAAUCAUUUCUCUAUCUUUAUAUAAACUUUUUCAAAUUGUCAUGUAUUUUCUUAUUGUAUUAUUUUAUUUACAAAUAAAAUUAUACAAUACAAAGA
rnacentral:lncRNA from 10 species